UACGGGGGGUGCAAGCGUUGUUCGGAAUUAUUGGGCGUAAAGAGCGUGUAGGCGGCUUGGCAAGUCAGAUGUGAAAGCCCUGGGCUUAACCCAGGAAGUGCAUUUGAAACUGCUUAGCUAGAGUAGGGGAGAGGGAAGUGGAAUUCCUGGUGUAGAGGUGAAAUUCGUAGAUAUCAGGAGGAACACCGGUGGCGAAGGCGACUUCCUGGCCCUAUACUGACGCUGAGACGCGAGAGCGUGGGUAGCAAACAGGAUUAGAAACCCUAGUAGUCC
rnacentral:rRNA from 1 species